ACUCCAUGGGUUCUGAUUGACAUCAGAUUGCAGUGGUUCGUCAAUGAGAUAUCACACCACUGCACCACAUGGGAAGCUAAAUAUCCAAACUUGCAAGGAAUUCAUACUGUAAGACAUUGCUAAGAAUAGUUGCGGAAAAUUAUUUGGGGUUCUUUGUCUGUGUGUGUAAUAGAAAAAUAGAUAAUUAUUCACCUCCCAGUAUUGGGCACAUCCAUCCCUACCCAACCUUGGGGAUGAUCCAAAAUGUUCUUUUUCUGGAAUGAUGUAUUGUAUAGAGAUCCAGGAGUCACCAUGUAUUCAUCAUCAUUUGUCUUUGGGAACAGAGGAGAGUACCCAUAGAACUGAUUGAGGCAGAGUCAGUCUCCAUGUUAACGUCUGCCCAGAUGUCCUUGGUUAGAGCAUGCUGAUCUCUCUAUCCAGCCCCUGAGGUCAAAAUCAGGCAUUCUGUAAACUAUUGCUCCAUCUUGAGAGGUCACUAACCUGAAAAGGAAUAUUUUGUUUUGAAAAUGGAGGGAAGCAUACAGUUCCUUCUCAAAUUCUUGUUCUCCACUCCCUGAUUCUGGUGCUUACACACUCAGCUAAGGCAGAGGGUGAAAGACCACAUACAACUUAUAAGCGGCUAAUGACAAGGUCAAUCUUAUGGAGGUUUUUGCUGAAGAGACUGAUAUGGGCAUAGAGCAAAUACCCUAAGAGUAACAGUGGUCCGUAGCCAUGUCCCAAAAUUUCUUACUGUAGACCCCAGUCCUUUAUGCUAGUUUCAGUAUCAUGGUGGGAUAGAGUGUAAUUCCUUUGGCCCAUAGUGGAGGUGAUGGCUACAAUACAAUAUGUUAUUGGCUUUGACAGUCCAUUUAUUUUCCUUACGAUAUAGCUGUUUUAUUUUGACGUUUACAUGUGACACGUAAAGAUUGAGUUGAACAAAAAUUGUUAUAUCUCAUUCUAUUUGAAUGUCUCUAUAGUAAUAUAGUUCUAAAAGAAUGAUAAUAGAAUUAGACCAUUAUUGUCUCAUCGGUCUGUAAAGGCAGACUUUAGUAUGAGACUAGAUUCUAUCUCCAGAAACAACAUUUAAGUUUUAUCCCUUAUGCAGAGUAUCCAGUGGCACAACAUUAGGAAUCCAUCAUCAUUAUAGUGGAUCACUAUCAUAUUCCAUUGAAAAUGCCUACUGGAAGUCAAGAUACAUUUGUUGCCUGUUGACCUAACCUGGAUCAUACUGCAUAAGGAUGCUACUGUUUCCAAAGCACUUUGACAUUUCAGAUAACAUAUUGGAAAAGGAGUAUAAUUUUUAAAGGAAGAGGCUUUUGUGAGAGCAUUGACAUUUAAAGGACAGCAGAGAAGAUCCUGAACAGAGACCUGAGUAUAAGCUACACAGAGAGCGGAAAAAACCUUGCGAAUUUCCUAGUAAAGCUCACCACUGGUGCAACUCAGUUAAAAGCCAGGUGGCAUGGGAGUCCUGCAGACAUAGCCCACCUCUGUCAGUGUCCUGAGUCAAGAGCAGGACUGGCAAGGUUGGAAAGUGGAUGUGGAGGAGCAAGGAAGAGAGAGCUGUAUUUAGAAGAGUUUGAAUUGUUUGCAGCAUACAUUGAUGAACAACCCAGUAAGAAUAAUUUUCUCUUUGGAGCUAAGUUUGAAAUUUAUUAAGGGAAAACAAAAAGACAAACAAACAAAAACAUGUACAAAUAUGGAACAAAGUCAAAAGAAAGAGUUCAGCGAAAGAUUAAGAUUUAGAUCUUAAUUGCAACUGUCUUGGUCCAUUGAGGCUGCUAUAAUGAAAUACGGCAGACUGAGUGGCUUAUAAAUAGCAGAAAUGUAUUGCUCACAGUUCCAGAAACUGGGAAGUCCAAGGUCAAAAUGCUGGCAGAUUUGAUGUCUGGUGAGAGCCCGAAUCCUGGUUAGUAGAUGGCUAUCUUUUCCCUGUGUCUUCACAUGGCUGAAGUGGGGAAGGAAUUCUCUGCAGUCUCUUUUUUAAGGGUUCCAAUCCCAUUCAUGAGGGCUCUGCUCUCACCUCCCAAAGACCUCACCUCCAAAUAACUUCACUUGGCAGAUAAGUCUCAAAAUACAAAUUCCGGUAAACACAAAUCUUUAGUCUAUAGAAAGAACUAAAGAACAAAUGAUUUCAAAAGAGAAAAAGUAUAAUAGACAAAUGCACAUUUCAGCGUAUCUGGGCUAGAGUGUGGGGCCCUGAGUGAAAUCUUUCACGUAAAGUUUCUUAUAUUGCUUAUAUAUUUGUAUAUACAAUGUGAAUUUGCAUCCACACAGUGUGUAUAAUCCAUACUGUGCAUCACUAUAGUGCAUAUUUACACUGCUUGUCACACAAUAUUCAAGAAACAGGAAUUCUGAACAACGCUUUACAGAGAACCAUAGUAAUUAAUCCUCUUCAUAAGGGCAUUAUUGCAAGUGUUCCAGUUAGUGGUGGUUAUAUUUAUCUUCCUGCUGUAGCUGUAGAUGUUGGCAGUUUGGUUUAAGAUAGAGACAGUCACUCUUGCCUGUAACUAAAUUCUAGAAUUCACAAAUGCCUAAGUUAAAGCCUGAGAAAGUAUUCUCAUUACGUAUUUACCACGGUUGGUACUAUGUUAAUUACAGAUGCCUUAGUUUGGGUAACCAAGAAAGAAAAUUAUUGUAAAGCAUUAGACUUUUAUAUCAUUUUUAUAAUGAGAGCCAACUUUUUGAAGCCAUAGACGUCAUAAAAUGAUUAAUCUUCAAAUUAUAUAAUGGCUAAUAUUAAAAGUCUAUUUUGGUUAUACAAUGAGCAAGUACUAACUUUAUAAAAAAUAGUAAUAAUUAUGACUAAUUUAGGGAAUGUAGAAACAAAAUGGCGUUAAAAUACUGAUGAAAGUCAGCAAAUGGUCUUGUUAUUAUUUGGAGGAAGGAAAAGAUACUGAUAAACUUUAGAUUGUGUGCAAUUACCUUUCAGGUGACAAAUUAUAGUUAUGCUUUAUUUUCUUUAACUCUAGCAUUGUGGAUCUCCAUAAGUAGAUAUUUCUAAAUGUGUUUAUUUCAUAAAUAAAACUUCAUUAGUAUAAAGAAGUAACCAAUAUGGCAAAGGGAAGUAUAAUUGCA